rnacentral:rRNA from 1 species
UGGGGAAUAUUGCGCAAUGGGCGGAAGCCUGACGCAGCGACGCCGCGUGAGGGAUGAAGGUCCUCGGAUCGUAAACCUCUGUCAGGAGGGAAGAAUAUGCAUGGUGCCAAUCAGCCAUGCAGUGACGGUACCUCCAGAGGAAGCACCGGCUAACUCCGUGCCAGCAGCCGCGGUAAUACGGAGGGUGCGAGCGUUAAUCGGAAUCACUGGGCGUAAAGCGCACGUAGGCUGUUUUGUCAGUCAGAGGUGAAAGCCCACGGCUCACCCGUGGAACUGCCUUUGAUACUGCAAGACUAGAAUCCGGGAGAGGGUGGCGGAAUUCCAGGUGUAGGAGUGAAAUCCGUAGAUAUCUGGAAGAACACCAGUGGCGAAGGCGGCCACCUGGCCCGGUAUUGACGCU